rnacentral:rRNA from 1 species
UACGGAGGGAGCUAGCGUUGUUCGGAAUUACUGGGCGUAAAGGGCGCGUAGGCGGCCUUCUAAGUCGAACGUGAAAUCCCCGGGCUCAACCCGGGAACUGCGUCCGAUACUGGAAGGCUUGAAUCCGGGAGAGGGAUGCGGAAUUCCAGGUGUAGCGGUGAAAUGCGUAGAUAUCAGGAGGAACACCAAUAGCGAAGGCAGCUCGCUGGGACGGUACUGACGCUGAGGCGCGAAAGCGUGGGGAGCAAACAGG